rnacentral:lncRNA from 10 species
CACUGAGGUGGAGCCUUUGGGACUUUUGCAGCGGGGAGGAGCCUGGCCCCUCCUCUUCCUGUGUGGACCCUCGGAUUCAAGCUGCUGGCGGGAAGUGCGCUAGGCGGAGCUGUGGUCUAGCGAGAGUCCCUGUUUCCCCCUUUUCUUCCUUUUCACAGGAUCUCACCCCAUAAAACCCUGUCUUACCAUUCAAAUUGUCUGUAAGCCUGAAUUUUCGCGGCCCUAAGACAAAGAACCUUGUCUUUCACUGAAUUUAAAAAAAGUCCUGCAACAUUUUUGGUGCACAACGUGGGGGUUCGAGAAGCGAUUUUCUGGUCAGAUUAAGCCAAGUAAAAUGAACUUAACUCAAAGCCUUGAAGACAGAAAAACUUAUAAAAGUACAGCCUGCAGUAUUCUCAUUCAGAAAGAACAACAGGGCAAAAGACCUGAAGAAGGAGCAUACUGCGGUUUUCAGAAUACCAUCGAGGAGGAGAGAGGUCUACUGUUAUGAAUUGCCACAACUUGGAGGCUUAGAACAACACAAAUUAGUACUCUCACAGUCCUGAAGGCUACAGCUCUGCAAUCAAGAUAUCAGCAAGGCCAUCAUUCCACUAAGGCUCUAAGGAAGAAUCCAUUUUUGCCUCUUCCUGCUUCUGGGAUGCAUCCACUUUAUUAGACGGCAAACUAGAAAAUGCUUCCUACAGUCGCCACAUAAAAAGGGUGGGGCAGUAGGAGACACUGAAUUCACAUAUCAUUGAAAACCAAAAUAUUAGAAGAGCUUAAGUUUUAAAGAAUGCUGGCAAAUGUUUAAGCGAUCAGCACUGCUGGUUUACUAUAAACAUAAUGGACUACACGUUGAGUACCUUGACAUAUGAGUAAAUUCAUAUAGUACAAAUCAUUCAACACACAUAUCUUGAGAACAAGUGAGAAGACAGCCAUCUGCAAACCAGAGAGAAAGUCCUCAUAAGGAACUGAAUCAAACUUCACCUUGAUCUUGGGCUUCCCAGCCUUUGCAACUGUGAGAAAUAAAUGUGUCUUUAUGCCACCUUGUCUAUGGCCAAGGAAUGCCCAGGAUUGCCAGCAACCAUCAAAAUUUAGGAGAGAAGAAAAGGAAGCCUUCUCCUUUAGAGGCUCCAGAGGCAACCAACCUUGUUGACACCUUGAUUUUGGACUUCUGGUCUGCUGAACUGUAAGACAAUAAAUUUCUGUUGUUUUAUGUCCCCAAAUUCAUAGUAAUUAGUUAAGUUAGGCUUAGAAAACUAGUACAAUCCUGGUGGGUCUGAAAAUAGAUAUGUAAGAAGUUUACAGGGUUUAGCCUCUAUUUUAUUUUGGUUUUCAAGUACUUUGUUAUAUAAAGAAAUUUUCAACAAUGUUUUUGAAUCCUGGUAAUAAUAGGCAAUGCUUUCACUGGCCGUUCAUUAUCUGUUGCCUGAAAGACCUUCUCCUCUGCAUUUGGCUUUCUAAGUCAUUUAUGGCUUUCUGUACUUUCUUGGUUGACUCUCAUUUCCCACUUUGACCUUCUGUUACUCCUUAUACUAUUCACUCUGCCACUAUUCUUUCAACAACAAUGUUAUGCAUACAUUUUAUUUCUUUUUUCCUCUCCGAUACUCAACACGGACAGGACUUUUUAUUUUGUCUCAAAUAGCUGGCACUGGUACUUAGUAACACUUGUAAUUUCUGCCUCUGCCCAAGCACAAAAAAACAAUCCUACAGGCCGACUUUGGUAGGCUGAGUAAUUUGUUAACAAAAAAAUCAACCAGCAAAAACUAUAUAGACAUAGAUGUAGACAUAUAUGUGUGUGUGUGUGUGUGUGUGUGUGUGUGUGUCUGUGUGUAUCUCCUAUAAUAAUGGGUAAAACAGUUUUCAUAGUACGCCUGCUUUGACUUUAUUGUUGUGAGUUUUUGCUUUCAAAAGCCCAAUGAGAAAUCAGUUUCUGGGCACAGCUGCUCUGCUGUGCAAGAGAAUAAAAUAGGGGUGGCUUUAACAUAUGCUAAUCAUCAUGGUGCUGGUUCAAUUUGAGCUACAAAAUAGACAAUAUUACAAUUCUCAACUGCUCUACUAAAUAGCAGUUACUGUACACUUUAAGGUCAUGUCAAAACUGUCCUUCCUGGUGGACUGUCAUUAGAGUCCCAUCUGUAUCCAUCAGAAAUUUGUGAUUUAUGCUAUUUUAAUUAGUUUAUAAAUAAUUCAUAAAAGAACAUGCUUGCUUGCUGUGAAAUUCAUUCUUUAAAGAGAUGAAAAAAAUUAUGGAGAAAGAGGAAAAUGGUAAAUCUAAAGGUUUAGGAAUUCUGUUUUGAGGGAACUAUUUCAAUAGUGUAUUCUCAAUUUGUAUUCAACUUCGUGAUUAUGAGUAAGAGGAAUUAAUGUAGUAAUAUUUUACUGAAUUGGCUACAGAAAAAAUGAAGCUUAUUAGAGCCUGUAUCAUGUCAUCUGUGCAUUUAAACCAUUAUUUGAUCUUCUAAAGCCUGCAAAGAUUCCAAUUUAUUCAUUCUGUAUCAUAUGUGUUCAUUUUGCUCUUAAAAAUAUAGGUGUAAGGCACUGAAUGUGCUUCCAAUAUGUUUACUAUAUGGCACUCAAGAUGCCUGUAUACUAUUACCAAAAUUGUAAUAGUAAUGUAAUGAUUAAAGUCCACACUGAAGUUUCACUGUGCCAUUUUGAAUGGUCUUUUCUGUAGUGAUGAGUUAAGGUUAGAAUCAUCGCACAACAAAGAUAUCUUUGAUUCUACUGUAACUAACUGGAAUAGAGUUCAAGAUAAGCUAACAUUAAGUUGGCUGCCCGUUUUGAAUUUUUAUCAUAUAAAGCCAAUCCAGUUAAACUAAUUUCAACUCAUUCUGGUCUUAUGUCAAGGUUGAGAGUCUUUUUUUUAGGCUGAACUUUCUAGCCAGGGUCUAAAAUUCUCAAAGGCUCUAUUUUUAUAUAUGGAUAUAAUGUAAGGCAUUAAAUUAUUCAGUAUAUAUUUACCAGAUGCUUUAGGUACGUGUCUGACAUUGGGAGAGAGAGUGGGAAAUUCAAGAAUACAUGUCUUGUAAUAAGUACCACUAUUAGACUCCUAAAAAGCCUAAAUUUGGGGAUACCCAAAUCUGUG